UUUCUCUUGGACCAGCAGUAGGGAAAGAAAGCUACACUGGCUUUAUUAGACCUUCUGGGAUGAGCCUCCAAAACACACAGCCAGGUAUGGAAGCAGUGCAGGUUCUGCAGGGUGUCUGUAGUGUAUCUGCUGGAAAUAAAGGGAGAAUACAGCCAUUUCCCAAGCAACAGCCCCAGCCUAAAAAAAGAAGAUUCUUCAAAUGUGGGAUGAGCCCUGAUUCCUGACUCCCAGCACAGCUGAAGCCACAAAGAAGCUCCCUUGGUCUUCCCACGAUGGAUAAACAUCUGAUUGUUCAAAUUAGAAAUGGAUAAAUUCUUAUCUGUGUUUAUCUAACACUGCAAAUUUUAAUCACAUGGGCAAAACAGAGUGUCCCAGAAAACUGAAAAAGGUUGGCUGGUCUCCCAGUGCCAAGAGAUCUGCCAAGAUCUGGGUUCAGGCAAAGCCCUGCUGCUGUCUUCCAAGCUACAAACCGUAUCCCAUCGUAUUUCUGCAGUAGAAAGCAGAUUGACUGGGACCAAACAAAAAUUUGUUCCCCAGCAGCUCCUGCUUAAAAGAGAGAUUUGAUUUGGU